ensembl:snRNA U4 U4 spliceosomal RNA
AGCUUUGUCCAGUGGCAGUAUCGUAGCCAAUGAGGUUUAUCUGAGGCAUGAAUAUUGCUAAUUGAAAGCUUUUCCCAGUAUCCCACCAUGAGGGCUUAAAAUGUAGUCAGCAUUUGUAAUUUUUGACAGUCUUCACAGAGA